CUUUAUGGAGUCUAUGUUUCAAACCCUUUACCUAUUUUUUUCUCUAAUAUCUGGCAGGAGGAAGACUUACCUGAUCCAGCAGACCAGUGGCUUUCUGAGAAGACUAAGUUGGACCAUCCUUCCCCAGAGAAGUCCUGUUUUUGGCAAGAAAUACUGAACUUCCAGUUGUAGCAAUGAAGUGCUGCAGACUGCUGACUCCAACAUGGAUUACAUCACACAGUUGUUGACAUUAUCCUGGAAAGAGGGAACAGGGA